rnacentral:lncRNA from 1 species
CCUGGUAACCUGCACCUCUAUAAAUCAUCCCCUGGGGUGGUUCUGAAGCAAGCGUGCCAGGCGUUUCCUGACCAAGGGACCAACACCAUCUUUCUCCUUCGGAGACCUCCAGUCCCUACCAACCCAGAGAGACACGCCCCAGGAAAGUGAGAAAGGCCUGGCAGUGGGCUUCCUAGGUCUCAGAGGCAGCUAAUGCAGUGGCGGAUGAUGCCUGUAUGUGUCCAGGUCGGAUCACUGUGCUCCCCAAGACGGGCUGUCGUAAAGAUAGACACCUGUGGUCGGCACACUGGGGAAGCCUAGGAGGUCAGACCAGCCCUUCUCUGCCCUGAGUGCUGAUGAAAGCAGCAAAAUGGGGUGAAGGGAGGGGUGGGAGGCAUGGGGAAUGAGGGCCCGGCUUGCCGAAGUCUUCCCUGGCACUUCAUCAAGGUUAAAAGGGGUAGCCUCUUCCCACCAUCCCCCUGCCUGCUGGAAAGCUAGAUUCCAUCAGGGAGCAAGGACAGUAGGAGAGAGGGUGCCGUAGCGGGAAGGGCCUGGCUCUGAAGUCCUACCUGCCCUCACUGAGCUCCCCGCUAUGGUUUCCUACUUGGGUGGCUUGGGCAGGUCCCUCAGCCUCUCUGAGGAUUACACAAAAAGUGUCUGUGAAACAUUCAGCCCACGCGAGCUCUCAGCCACCCUUAGCUUUCACAGCUGCAGUUGGGAGCAUUCCUACGACUAACAUAAAAAAACAGAGCUCAACAUGUUCUCUGGACACAAGAAAAACAAUGCAUCAAUUUCAGUGUUGAAUUAAUGACCACUGACCUCCAUGGCUUAUGCUGGACAGAGGAGGACAUCAAGGCCCAGCAGAGGUGAGUGGCUGGCCAGACAGCACCCAGAGGGCACCCAGUGGCAGCAGAAACGGGCUGGAAGCACAGGCCUUUGGAAUCUGUCCUCACCAUAUCAGGGAGUGUCAGACACAUUCCAGGGUGACCCUCGGGGAAUCACACCCUGUGUGGUCCCCUCACCUUGAGAGUGAGCAGGGCCUGGAACGUGCUUUUGAACAACAGAAAGUGGCAAAGCGAGGGGCAGCUCCUGUGAGCACGUUCCAUUACGUUAACUCCAUCUCAGCAGGCAGGAGUGAGGAGCUCUCCUGCCAGCCUUGAGGAAAGAAAUACCCACAUGGUGAUAUGCCCUUGGAGGGGGCCAC